rnacentral:snRNA from 1 species
AAGCCAGUGGCGCGAAGCUACC